rnacentral:rRNA from 1 species
UAGGGAAUCUUCCGCAAUGGACGAAAGUCUGACGGAGCAACGCCGCGUGAGCGAAGAAGGUCUUCGGAUCGUAAAGCUCUGUUGUCAGGGAAGAACAAGUACGAGAGUAACUGCUCGUACCUUGACGGUACCUGACCAGAAAGCCACGGCUAACUACGUGCCAGCAGCCGCGGUAAUACGUAGGUGGCAAGCGUUGUCCGGAAUUAUUGGGCGUAAAGCGCGCGCAGGCGGUCCUUUAAGUCUGAUGUGAAAGCCCGCGGCUUAACCGCGGAGGGUCAUUGGAAACUGGAGGACUUGAGUGCAGAAGAGGAGAGUGGAAUUCCACGUGUAGCGGUGAAAUGCGUAGAGAUGUGGAGGAACACCAGUGGCGAAGGCGACUCUCUGGUCUGUAACUGACGCUGAGGCGCGAAAGCGUGGGGAGCAAACA